AUGAAAAUUAUCUCCCGGAUCUUGAACACACGACUGCAGAAAUUUAUUGAGCUCUUGGUGUCCUUUGAACAAUCUAGGUUUAUUGCCGGGAGGUGCAUCGCUGAUAAUUUCUUGUAUGCGGCGGAUUUGGUCCAGAGCUGUCGAAUUCGGAAGAAGCCGACGAUUGCCCUUAAAUUGGAUUUCAAGAAAGCCUUCGAUUCUGUCAGCUGGGAUGCUUUGGGUAUAAUCAUGCGGGCGCGCGGAUUUGGCGAUCGUUGGUGCUCUUGGAUCCAUAAUAUCCUUACCACCCGCAAAACGGCAGUAUUGUUGAACGGGGUCCCCGGCAGAUGGAUACAGUGUAAAAAGGGACUGCGGCAAGGGGACCCAAUGUCACCCUACCUCUUCUUAAUAGUUGCGGACCUCCUCCACCAACUGAUUUUCAAGGAUGACUCCCCUGACCGGCUACUGCAUCCUCUGGUAGAUGAUCUGCCCUGUCCUGUUGUUCAGUACGCCGACGAUACCCUCCUGUUGGUCCGUGCUGAUCAGAGGCAGCUUUCUCGGCUAUGA
rnacentral:rRNA from 1 species